rnacentral:rRNA from 1 species
AUUGAACGCUGGCGGCAGGCCUAACCCAUGCAAGUCGUGCGGAGCGGCGGACGGGUGAGUAAUGCCUAGGCAUCUGCCUGGUAGUGGGGGAUAACGUCCGGAAACGGGCGCUAAUUCCGCAUACUAUCCGAUGAGCCUAGGUCGGAUUAGCUAGAUGGUGGGGUAAAGGCCUACCAGGGCGACGACCCGUAACUGGUCUGAGAGGAUGAUCAGUCACACUGGAACUGAGACACGGUCCAGACUCCUACGGGAGGCAUCAGUGGGGAAUAUGGGACAACGGGCGAAAGCCUGAGCCAGCCAUGCCGCGUGGGUGAAGAAGGUCUUCGGAUUGUAAAGCACUUUAAGUAGGGAGGCGUUACCAACAGAAUAAGCACGGGCUAACUUCGUGCCAGCAGCCGCGGUAAUUG